rnacentral:lncRNA from 1 species
AUGGCUCUUGUUAUUGCAGGUGGCCAUAUAUCUUCCUUGACUUGUCAUCUCCAUAUGCUCCCAUUUGGUAUCUGGGAGUAGGAUUAAUUCUCCUCCCUGCAUAUGGCAUCUUUGCACUCAUUGUUAAGUGUAAGCAACUGCUUCUGUCAACAUUUUCCGAAAAUCUUGGAGCAUGAGACCCUGUUCGCGUUGAAAUAGGCCGUUCCAAAAUAUGUUGGGCUGAAACGAUUGAUAGGAAAUUCAAAACAUGUAACAAAUCUCAUCUUUUUUAUCUUUUCUGUUAUAUUCUGCAGUUUUUAUAUAGUUGUUAAUGACAAGUAAACUGCAAGCAAGAUGGCCACUUGUAUUUGGCCAUUGAUGCAUCACUUACAUUGCAUAAUGUUUUUAAAUGAUUAAAAAUCUGUCGGUCACGUGUUUGGUUGGUAUAACGAAGUUUGGUAG